CGCGAUACAUUUUUGAAAAAUAGAAGGAAAUAGAAAAACUCGCAUUGGAAGCUAGGAAAGACCGAUUCCUCUUUCGCUGUCAAAGAAAAAAGAGAAAGAUGACUGAAAUUUCAACAAGUAGAUCGCUCCGUUUCCUACUGUUCUUUGCUUCCGUUUCUCUACACUUCAUUUCAGGUUUUUGUGACGACUCUACAGAUUCAAAAAACAGCUCAAAGACGAAAUCUGAUAUGGUUAAUAAUACUGGGGCCAAGGUAGUCCUCAUAUUGCUUGGGCUUGUUGCAGUCGGGUUGUUUUCCUUUUUCCUUUUCAAGUUGUGGCAGAAAAAGAAACGAGACGAACAAUAUGCCCGCCUUCUACAGCUGUUUGAAGAAGAUGAUGAGCUUGAGCUUGAGCUUGGCCUGCGGGACUAGCUUUAGAGUGAGAACUGAGCAUCCUAUUUGAGGCUGAAAUGGUAUCUCACUGGGUUGUGUUGUUUAGAGAACUCAGACUUUUGUGAUGGUCAAGGCCAGGAGUUUAGGCAUAUCCUGUGGUGAGGUCAGAUAAAUUUUCAACCUUAAGCUGUACUAUUUGUAAUGAUAAUGUUCAAAUGAUUUUUUUUUGGGAUGCUUUAAAA